rnacentral:rRNA from 1 species
GAUGAACGCUAGCGGCAGGCCUAACACAUGCAAGUCGAGGGGUAGAGGGAGCUUGCUUCCUUGAGACCGGCGCACGGGUGCGUAACGCGUAUGCAAUCUACCUUAUACAGAGGGAUAGCCCAGAGAAAUUUGGAUUAAUACCUCAUAGUAUUACGAAAUCGCAUGGUUUUGUAAUUAAAGUUCCAACGGUAUAAGAUGAGCAUGCGUCCCAUUAGUUAGUUGGUAAGGUAACGGCUUACCAAGACAAUGAUGGGUAGGGGUCCUGAGAGGGAUAUCCCCCACACUGGUACUGAGACACGGACCAGACUCCUACGGGAGGCAGCAGUGAGGAAUAUUGGUCAAUGGACGCAAGUCUGAACCAGCCAUGCCGCGUGCAGGAUGAAGCAUCUAUGGUGUGUAAACUGCUUUUGUACGGGAAGAAACACUCCUACGUGUAGGAGCUUGACGGUACCGUAAGAAUAAGGAUCGGCUAACUCCGUGCCAGCCGCCGCGGUAA